CUUCUCAUUCUUCUUCCCAAGUGUCCGGACGCCGCAUCGCUCUCCGACUACCGCCCUAUUAGCCUGAUCCACCUCAUUGCAAAGCUUUUUGCAAAGGUGCUGUCCCUACGUCUUGCGCCCAGACUUGGAGCCAUGGUUUCGACCAACCAGAGCGCUUUCAUUGUCGGCCGAUGCAUACACGACAACUUUCUGCUUGUUCAGCAGACAACGCGUCUUCUACACAACCUCAAGGUGCCUCGCAUGCUUCUCAAGCUUGACAUAGCACGGGCCUUCGACAGCGUUUCCUGGCCUUUCCUCCUCGAGACACUAGAGCACCUUGGCUUUGGCCAACGUUGGCGCGACUGGAUCUCGAUCCUCCUUUCCACCGCCUCCACACGGCUCCUGCUCAACGGCCAUCUGGGCCCCCCCAUUGGCCAUGCAUGCGGCCUACGACAGGGAGAUCCGGUAUCUCUGAUGCUAUUCACCAUCGUCAUUGACAUCCUUAAUUCCAUGCUCAUCCGUGCCGUGGAGCUUGGCAUCAUCCAACAGCUGACCACGCGAUACGUGACCACCAGCAUAUCCCUAUAUGCUGACGACGUUGUCAUCUUCUGCCACCCGGACCGCCAGGACAUCUCGGCCGUCCGCGAGCUGCUAUGA
rnacentral:rRNA from 1 species